GAAAUAAGUCUUGGGCAGGGAAGGAGCCGAAAUGAUAAUUUUUCCUCCUCCUUAUCCCUUAAUAAGGCAUAAUUGCACCUUAAUGUUACCUUUACAAAAGCCUCCCCUCUCCCCAGCCCAGUUCUCCCAGGCAAAAUACCAGAAGGGGUCUGAGUGAGACACCGGGGUGGUAAAGAGCUUCGGGGGCCGGGGAGAUGUGAUGGUGACUAGAGAGGCUGGUAUUCUAGCCAAUUCUGGGCAAGGAGAGUGAGCAAAUGCAUGAGGAGAAGGGACAGAAAAGAUUGACUGUAUCCAUUUGGAACAACUAACGGGGUGUAGGAGUGCAGAUUUCAUUUAUACUCUCUGAUGAUCUCUUCCGAGCUCCUGUCACCUCUUCAACUUCCCGCAUAUUGAAGGAUUUCACCCAGCGACUGCUGUAUGCUGUCAGUGGAUGUGGAAAUGAGCUUCAACUGGAGAAUCCCACAAAGGAAGAGAGGAGGCAGUUCAGAGCAGCAAGUAACUCCUCGCAUCAACUAAAUCCCCAGAACCACAGGCAAUAGCUUAGCAAGUAUCCGAGCUCCUUCUACUCCUCCAGCAGCACCCUGGGACAGAUUUCUGCAGUGCGGGGAGAAACAGGUGAGCAAAAGGGCCUCAGAGAAACAAGACAAUCUAUGAGUUGUUCUGUGCUCUGCCUUCCCAAAGGCACAGCCGUUCCCAGCAUAGGGAAGGAGGUUCCUGAGUCAAGGGGGAGCUGUCUCGCACUGCUGUCAUCUUCUGAGACGAGAGUUACCGGGAGGAAAGAUUCCUUGGUGCCACAGGCAUCCUCGCUCCCACCGUGGACUAGACGUGCACUGACGGGGACUGCGUUUGGUCUGGUGGGGG